rnacentral:rRNA from 1 species
UACGUAGGGUGCGAGCGUUGUCCGGAAUUAUUGGGCGUAAAGAGCUCGUAGGCGGUUUGUUGCGUCGGCUGUGAAAUCCCGAGGCUCAACCUCGGGUCUGCAGUCGAUACGAGCAAACUAGAGUGUUGCAGGGGAGACUGGAAUUCCUGGUGUAGCGGUGAAAUGCGCAGAUAUCAGGAGGAACACCGAUGGCGAAGGCAGAUCUCUGGGCCGUAACUGACGCUGAGGAGCGAAAGCAUGGGGGAGCGAACAGG